rnacentral:rRNA from 1 species
UACAGAGGGGGCAAGCGUUGUUCGGAAUUACUGGGCGUAAAGGGCGCGUAGGCGGCCCGUUAAGUCGAACGUGAAAUCCCCAGGCUCAACCUGGGAACUGCGUCCGAUACUGGCGGGCUUGAAUCCGGGAGAGGGAUGCGGAAUUCCAGGUGUAGCGGUGAAAUGCGUUGAUAUCUGGAGGAACACCGGUGGCGAAGGCGGCAUCCUGGACCGGCAUUGACGCUGAGGAGCGAAAGCCAGGGGAGCAAACGGG